rnacentral:lncRNA from 1 species
ACUUGUAGGACUUUUAUAAUUAUGAGGAAAACAAACAAACUUCUAGAUUUAUAUCGAACGCUCAGCCUGCUAAGUAGUCGUGCAAAUUAAGCAACUAAUCUUGGUGAUGUUGAAAGUAUAUAUAUAUAUAUAUAUAUAUAUAUAUGUAGUUUACAUUUUUUUUUAUUUUUUUUUGGACAAAUAUGUAGUUUACAUUUUAUACUAAUAGUUUUGGAAAUCACCAGAAAUUGCAGUAUUUAAUUUAACAUAUUAUAUUAAAGACAUUCUUACAUUUGGUCUGUCUGUAACGUACGUGUACAUACAUA